AAAACAUAGAAAUAUCCUCCUUCCUAUAUUCUACCCGCCCCUAAACCACACCCCAAAUUGGUUGUUUCUCCUCCUGUCUGGCCCCCAACUCAAACAGCAGUAUGUGCUGAGCCUUCAAAAAUCAACCAGAUGGCUUGCCCCACAUACAGAGAACAUUCCCCACUCACCUCCUCCCAUCAGGAGAGGAAAAAACAGAACAAUAACAAAAACACCGUUGGGGCAUUUCAUGUAGGGAACAUCAGUCUGCUGACUCCUUCCACCCUAAGCCAAGGAGAGAAAAGCCAUGCCUACAGGCAGAACAGUAUCUACCCUCUGACGGAACUUCCUCCAUCACAGAAACAGGAGUGGGGAGGUGAGGAUGAAAGCCGACACACUGCAAAUUCUGCAUCCAAAUGCUCACCUCCCAGGCUGACCUCCUAUGGAAACUCGAGCAGACUCUCACACCCAUCAUCUACAACAUAGCUCCACACAAGGAUGCUCUCAAAACUGCUGACUAAAUGGUCACUGCAUCCUUUUGGAGAAGUUUCUGAGAAAGGUCUGACAGGAGAAUGUAUCGCACCUUUGGACACAGCAUGCAAGAGUUAAGCCUACCUCUCUGAUAUUCACUAGUUCUGUGACAAUAGUGAAUGCAGUUUUCCUAUGUGAAAGGGGAAAUGAGGCUGUGUAUCUAUCAGUUUAAUGAAGAAGAAAUAAUAGGAGCCUUGUACUUGACAAAUGAGUGCACACCUUGGCUGCCUCCUUUUCUCCAGAGCUAACAAUAAUAAAGAAAAGAGGAUCCUAUUGGUCAUCUGAGAACAUUA